UACGUAGGGUGCGAGCGUUGUCCGGAUUUAUUGGGCGUAAAGAGCUCGUAGGCGGUCUGUCGCGUCGAUUGUGAAAACUCGGGGCUCAACCCCGGGCCUGCAGUCGAUACGGGCAGACUAGAGUGUGGUAGGGGAGACUGGAAUUCCUGGUGUAGCGGUGAAAUGCGCAGAUAUCAGGAGGAACACCGGUGGCGAAGGCGGGUCUCUGGGCCACAACUGACGCUGAGGAGCGAAAGCGUGGGGAGCGAACAGG
rnacentral:rRNA from 1 species